rnacentral:rRNA from 1 species
AUUGAACGCUGGCGGAAUGCUUUACACAUGCAAGUCGAACGGUAGAGGGGGCAACCCCUCGAGAGUGGCGAACGGGUGAGUAAUAUAUCGGAACGUGCCCAGUCGUGGGGGAUAACGUAGCGAAAGUUACGCUAAUACCGCAUACGAUCUCAGGAUGAAAGCGGGGGAUCGCAAGACCUCGCUCGAUUGGAGCGGCCGAGAUCAGAUUAGGUAGUUGGUGGGGUAAAGGCUCACCAAGCCAACGAUCUGUAGCUGGUCUGAGAGGACGACCAGCCACACUGGAACUGAGACACGGUCCAGACUCCUACGGGAGGCAGCAGUGGGGAAUUUUGGACAAUGGACGCAAGUCUGAUCCAGCCAUUCCGCGUGCAGGAUGAAGGCCCUCGGGUUGUAAACUGCUUUUGUACGGAACGAAAAGGUCUCUCUUAAUACGGGGGACUCAUGACGGUACCGUAAGAAUAAGCACCGGCUAACUACGUGCCAGCCGCCGCCGUAA